rnacentral:lncRNA from 1 species
ACCCCAGUAAGCCCCCCUGCGAUAUGGGGGCCCAUAAACCCACCCCUCAUAAGCCCCCCUCGGGAUAUGCGGGUGCCCUAUAAGUGCCCUAUAGGCCCCCCCCUGGAUAUGGGGUACCCUAUAAACCCCCCUGGAUAUGGGGCCCCAUAACCACCCUAAUAACCCCCCCUGAGAUAUGGGGUGCCCUUAUAUAACCCCCCCUGAUAGUGGGUGUGCCCAUAACCACCCUAUAAGCCGCCCCUGAUAUGGGGUGCCCCAUAAACACCCUGAUAGGCCCGCCCCGUGCAUAAUGGGCACCCUAAUAAACCCCCCGUGCGAUAUGGGGUGCCCUAUAAA